UACGUAGGGUGCGAGCGUUGUCCGGAAUUAUUGGGCGUAAAGGGCUCGUAGGCGGUCUGUCGCGUCGGCUGUGAAAACCCGAGGCUCAACCUCGGGCCUGCAGUCGAUACGGGCAAACUAGAGUACUGCAGGGGAGACUGGAAUUCCUGGUGUAGCGGUGAAAUGCGUAGAUAUCUGGAGGAACACCGGUGGCGAAGGCGGCAUCCUGGACCGACACUGACGCUGAGGAGCGAAAGCCAGGGGAGCAAACGGG
rnacentral:rRNA from 1 species